rnacentral:rRNA from 1 species
UCCGGAGCUAACGCGUUAAGUCGACCGCCUGGGGAGUACGGCCGCAAGGUUAAAACUCAAAUGAAUUGACGGGGGCCCGCACAAGCGGUGGAGCAUGUGGUUUAAUUCGAUGCAACGCGAAGAACCUUACCUACUCUUGACAUCCAGAGAACUUAGCAGAGAUGCUUUGGUGCCUUCGGGAACUCUGAGACAGGUGCUGCAUGGCUGUCGUCAGCUCGUGUUGUGAAAUGUUGGGUUAAGUCCCGCAACGAGCGCAACCCUUAUCCUUUGUUGCCAGCGAUUCGGUCGGGAACUCAAAGGAGACUGCCAGUGAUAAACUGGAGGAAGGUGGGGAUGACGUCAAGUCAUCAUGGCCCUUACGAGUAGGGCUACACACGUGCUACAAUGGCAUAUACAAAGAGAAGCGACCUCGCGAGAGCAAGCGGACCUCAUAAAGUAUGUCGUAGUCCGGAUUGGAGUCUGCAACUCGACUCCAUGAAGUCGGAAUUGCUAGUAAUCGUGGAUCAGAAUGCCACGGUGAAUACGUUCCCGGGCCUUGUACACACCGCCCGUCACACCAUGGGAGUGGGUUGCAAAGGAAGUAGGUAGCUUAACCUUCGGGAGGGCGCUUACCACUUUGUGAUUCAUGACUGGGGUGAAGUCGUAACAAGGUAACCA